UACGUAGGGCGCAAGCGUUAUCCGGAAUUAUUGGGCGUAAAGAGCUCGUAGGCGGUUUGUCGCGUCUGCCGUGAAAGUCCGGGGCUCAACUCCGGAUCUGCGGUGGGUACGGGCAGACUAGAGUGAUGUAGGGGAGACUGGAAUUCCUGGUGUAGCGGUGAAAUGCGCAGAUAUCAGGAAGAACACCCGUGGCGAAAGCGGCUCUCUGGAACGGUACUGACGCUGAGACGCGAAAGCGUGGGGAGCGAACGGAUUCAGAAACCCAGCUAGUACCCGAGAC
rnacentral:rRNA from 1 species